UCUGGAACUACAGGAGUCUCACGACUGGCCCAGAGGGCCUGGGUCUUGCAUACAGAAGCCACUGCUCUCAAGCCACAUGCUAAAAGAAUUUCUUCCAUCUGAAGUCCUGCCUAUAAUUUCCAGGACAUCCCAGAUCAAGAAAAAGUUUACCAACCUCUGCAUUAGAUGAUUCCAGCCCCCGGUCUUCAAGCCACCCCAGGAAAUGUCAUCUGUCUGGGAGAAGUGGCCAAGUGGAUGAAGGCCAUUUCCGUCUGUCUCAAAGCUGACUUCCUUUCUAG